CCUACGGGCGGCAGCCGUGGGGGAUAUUGCACAAUGGGGGGAACCCUGAUGCAGCGACGCCGCGUGGGUGAAGAAGCGCCUCGGCGCGUAAAGCCCUGUCAGCAGGGAAGAAAAUGACGGUACCUGAAGAAGACGCCCCGGCUAACUACGUGCCAGCAGCCGCGGUAAUACGUAGGGGGCAAGCGUUAUCCGGAUUUACUGGGUGGAAAGGGGGCGCAGACGGCGAUGCAAGCCAGGAGUGAAAGCCCGGGGCCCAACCCCGGGACUGCUCGUGGAACUGCGUGGCUGGAGUGCAGGAGGGGCAGGCGGAAUUCAUGGUGUAGCGGUGAAAUGCGUAGAUAUCAGGAGGAACACCGGUGGCGAAGGCGGCCUGCUGGACUGCAACUGACGUUGAGGCCCGAAAGCGUGGGGAGCAAACAGGAUUAGAUACCCCAGUAGUC
rnacentral:rRNA from 1 species